UACGGAGGGGGCUAGCGUUGUUCGGAAUUACUGGGCGUAAAGGGCGCGCAGGCGGCUGCUCAAGUCAGGCGUGAAAGGCCUGGGCUCAACCCGGGAAUUGCGCUUGAGACUGGGCUGGCUUGAGUGCGGGAGAGGAUGGUGGAAUUCCCAGUGUAGAGGUGAAAUUCGUAGAUAUUGGGGAAGAACACCGGUGGCGAAGGCGGCCAUCUGGACCGCAACUGACGCUGAGGCGCGAAAGCGUGGGUAGCAAACAGG
rnacentral:rRNA from 1 species